GGGAGGAUCACUCAUCUCUUCCAAAGUCAAUACAGGGACCUCAGUGCUGCACUGUCUAUACUUCAGGACAACAGUGCUUUUUGGUGAUUCUUGAAUCAUUUCAUAGACAGGGCCACAGUUUCAAAAGGACUUAAAAAAACAUAGCAAUAACACAUUCCAACACUUCCCCCUGAUUAUGGGAAGCACCCUGCCCUCCAAACCUAGGUAAGUGUUGACGUGCCCGAU
rnacentral:lncRNA from 1 species